rnacentral:rRNA from 1 species
UACGUAGGGUGCGAGCGUUAAUCGGAAUUACUGGGCGUAAAGCGUGCGCAGGCGGUUUUGUAAGACAGCUGUGAAAUCCCCGGGCUCAACCUGGGAACUGCGGUUGUGACUGCAAGGCUAGAGUACGGCAGAGGGGGGUGGAAUUCCUGGUGUAGCAGUGAAAUGCGUAGAUAUCAGGAGGAACAUCGAUGGCGAAGGCAGCCCCCUGGGCCGCUACUGACGCUCAUGCACGAAAGCGUGGGGAGCAAACAGG